rnacentral:rRNA from 1 species
ACAUAGGGUGCGAGCGUUGUUCGGAAUUACUGGGCGUAAAGGGCGCGCAGGCGGAAUAGUAAGUCGGAGGUGAAAGCCCGGGGCUCAACCCCGGAGGGUCUUUCGAAACUACUAAUCUAGAGAGGGUCAGGGGCCGGCAGAAUUCCUGGUGUAGAGGUGAAAUUCGUAGAUAUCAGGAGGAAUACCGGUGGCGAAGGCGGCCGGCUGGGGCCACUCUGACGCUGAGGCGCGAAAGCGUGGGGAGCAAACAGG